rnacentral:misc_RNA from 1 species
UCCUGGUUAACCCAGGCAGUCUCGCUAGAGUCCUCAACUUAAUGGUAGUAACUAACGACAAGGGUUGCGCUCGUUGCGGGACUUAACCCAACAUCUCACGACACGAGCUGACGACAACCAUGCACCACCUGUCACCUUGUCCCCGAAGGGAUUUCCUCGAUUAAGAGUAAUGCAAGGGAUGUCAAGUGUAGGUAAGGUUCUUCGCGUUGCUUCGAAUUAAACCACAUGCUCCGCUACUUGUGCGGGUCCCCGUCAAUUCCUUUGAGUUUUAAUCUUGCGACCGUACUCCCCAGGCGGAAUACUUAAUGCGUUAGCGGCGGCACGGAGGUGUUGAAACCCCCACACCUAGUAUUCAUCGUUUACGGCGUGGACUAC